rnacentral:siRNA from 1 species
GUAUUGUGUUACCAUUCAAACCCA